UACGGGGGGAGCAAGCGUUGUUCGGAUUUACUGGGCGUAAAGCGUGCGCAGGCGGUUCGUUGUGUCUGAUGUGAAAGCCCCGGGCUUAACCUGGGAAUGGCAUUGGAAACUGGCGAGCUGGAGUGUGGCAGAGGGGGGUGGAAUUCCGCGUGUAGCAGUGAAAUGCGUAGAGAUGCGGAGGAACACCGAUGGCGAAGGCAGCCCCCUGGGCCAACACUGACGCUCAUGCACGAAAGCGUGGGGAGCAAACAGG
rnacentral:rRNA from 1 species